AACGCACAUUGCGCCCCCUGGCACUCCGGGGGGCAUGCCUGUCCGAGCGUCAUUAACACCCCUCGAGCCCCCGGCUCGGUGUUGGGCCGCGCCGCGCCUCUCCGUGCGGCGGGCCCCAAUCGCAGUGGCGGCGCCCCCGGGCCCCGAGCGCAGUACCCAUUCUCGCUCCGGGACCCCGCGGGCUGCCGGCCAGCCAACCCCCCCUCCACGCAAGGUUGACCUCGGAUCAGGUAGGAAUACCCGCUGAACUUAA
rnacentral:misc_RNA from 1 species